rnacentral:rRNA from 1 species
GACGACGCUGGCGGCGUUGCUUAACACAUGCAAGUCGAACGGUAAGGCCCUUCGGGGUACACGAGUGGCGAACGGGUGAGUAACGCGUGAGUAACCUGCCCUUUCACUCUGGGAUAACAGUUGGAAACGGCUGCUAAUACCGGAUAUUCAGCUCCUGUCGCAUGGUGGGGGUUGGAAAGUUUUGGUGGUGGAGGAUGGGCUCGCGUCCUAUCAGCUUGUUGGUGGGGUGAUGGCCUACCAAGGCGUCGACGGGUAGCCGGCCUGAGAGGGCGACCGGCCACAUUGGGACUGAGAUACGGCCCAAACUCCUACGGGAGGCAGCAGUGGGGAAUAUUGCACAAUGGGCGGAAGCCUGAUGCAGCAACGCCGCGUGCGGGAUGACGGCCUUCGGGUUGUAAACCGCUUUCAGCAGGGACGAAGCGUGAGUGACGGUACCUGCAGAAGAAGCACCGGCUAACUACGUG